AUGCGCUCUUACUAUGAGCAUAACAACAUAGAUGGGAGGCCCAAAAUCAUGCUUGUGGGUAAGGGUGCCAGAGGUCUGGGUUUCAGUUUUGCUCCCAUGGGCAAAUUGCUUCGAGAGGCUCCUAGUCAAGGAACAUGGCUUGACACAAAGGUGGUUUGCUCCAAGCCUUGUCAUGGCAUGAACCUGUUAAGUACUGAGAGUGAGGACUAUCUCUACAACCCUUGCACAGGUUACUGCAGUAGCUACCACACUCGAGGGAGGUUCGCCUAUGUGCCCAACCAUAUACUCUCGAUGAUGCACGACAGUGUCCGUACACCAGAAGAUCAUGCUUUUGGUGUUGGCAACAGGAAUGCUGGCCUGGGGUUCAAUCUUCUUACACAGGAGCAUGUCAUUGUUCAAAUCUUAUAUCACUUGAAGGACUUCGAAUCUCGUCAAUAUUUAUUGACAUUCUCAGUAAUUGCCCCUGGUUCGGUGCAAGACCACUUUGAGCGGCCUCUUCCUUUAAAUGACAUGCCACCAACCUAUCUCUCAGGAGUACUAUAUUGGAUGAGUGAACCAAGGUUAGGACAGAGUUAUGAGAGGGCCAUUGUGUCGUAUAACAUUGCGACUAGGAUGUUUGGUGUCAUCCCUUGCCCCUCAAGCAUCGCAAUGUGGAACAGCACAAGUCCAUCCCAAGCAUUUGUGGUAGAGCUUGAGGGGAUAUUAUGUGCUGUUCAUGCAGAUCCAGUUGCAGAUGAGUUAGAUAUUUGGAAGCUGGAACAUGGUCGAUGGGAUAGAGCAUGUAGAAUAUAUUUAGAAGACUGCUCAGGCUAUUCCCUUGGGGCAAAUGUUGUGGUUCCCCUGGCCGUUGACCCCAAGGAUGGGAGAAUCAUGCUGAACACAGGGAGGAAAUUGGGUCUUUAUGAUCCUACGAAGCAAUCGGUUGAGAACUUGUAUGAUCUUGAUGAGGUCUUGCGUGUCACAAGUUCAGAGCAGUCUCCACGCGUUGGAGUGUAUGAAGACGUCCAAAUGACCAAAUGCGGACAUUAUGUCGAAAAGUUCUGUUUGCCGAAGUCACCUUUGGAGCAGCCCACGUUUUUCGAUGAGCCUUCACCUAAAUUAUCUGGGAAGCGAUUUACGUGCUCCAAUGGCGUUCAACCUUUGGAGGGGAGAACUCCUCUGGACAGUAAAGUUAUGCCUCUGGUCCCAAUGUUAUACGAGGAGAGCUUGGCAAGGUUUCCCCGUGUUUGCAAAACAAGGUGGUUAAGCUGA
rnacentral:rRNA from 1 species